rnacentral:rRNA from 1 species
UGCCAGCCGCCGCGGUAAUACGGAGGGUGCAAGCGUUAAUCGGAAUUACUGGGCGUAAAGCGCGCGUAGGUGGUCAAGUCAGUCAGAUGUGAAAGCCCUGGGCUCAACCUGGGAACUGCAUCUGAUACUGCUUGACUAGAGUAUGGUAGAGGGGUGUGGAAUUUCCUGCGUAGCGGUGAAAUGCGUAGAUAUAGGAAGGAACACCAGUGGCGAAGGCGGCUUUCUGGACCAAUACUGACGCUGAGAUGCGAAAGCGUGGGGAGCGAACAGGAUUAGAUA